rnacentral:rRNA from 1 species
AACGAACGCUGGCGGCAGGCAUAACACAUGCAAGUUGAGCGCCCCGCAAGGGGAGCGGCAGACGGGUGAGUCACGCGUGGCGAUCUACCCAUAUCUACGCAAUAAUGCAUGGAAAUGCGUGCUAAUACCGUAUACGUCCUUCGGGAGAAAGAUUGAUCGGAGAUGGAUGAGCCCGCGUUGGAUUGGCUAGUUGGUGGGGGAAAGGCCUACCAAGGCGACGAUCCAUAGCUGGUCUGAGAGGAUGCUCAGCCACACUGGGACGGAGAACCGGCCCGGACGCCUAUGGGAGGCGGCAGUGGGGAGAAUUGUACAAUGGGCGCAAGCCUGAACCGCUCUCGCCACGUGAGUGAUGAAGGCCGUAGGAUUGUAAAGCACUUUCACCGGUUAAGUUAAUGACGGUAACCGGAGAAUAAGCCCCGGUUAACUUCGUGCCAGCAGCCGCCGUAAAAC